rnacentral:hammerhead_ribozyme from 1 species
AUCCAGCUGAUGAGUCCCAAAUAGGAUGAAACACGUGUGCUGGAU